UGUGGCAUCCGUGUCCAGGUCAGCUGGC
rnacentral:misc_RNA from 1 species